CGUAAUUAACAAAUAAUUAGUUCAUAAAUCAUAAUACUCCGUUAUAUGAUUAAGUAAUGAAGCUUAAUACAGAUCAUGGACAGGUGGUUUAAUGCACGAUGCCAUCCAGUUCUUAUUUCUUUUAACCUGUUGAAUACGUCAAAUAGUCCAAGUGUCAUUUCUAACUGAUCUCUGCAUUUUUAGGCCUUAUUUGGUUGGGAAGAAUUGGAAGGAAAAGAAAAGAAAGGAAAGUUAAAAUAAGAUUUUCUGUAUUUGGUACAAAUAAUUAUAUGGGAAGUGAAAGGAAAGGAAGGGAAUUGGAAGGAAAGCUCCUUUAUAAAAUUUUCACUUUCCUUUCCUCCCAAAAUUGGAGGAAUUCGGAAGGAAAGAGAAAAUUAAAAGCUGUCAUUUAUAUUUCUUUUUCCUUCUCUUCCUUUCUUUCCUUUAAACCAAACACAGGAAAAUUAAAUCACUUUCCCUUCCAUUCUUUUCCCUUCCUUUCUUUUCUCUUCCUUUCCUUUACUAAUAAUGAACCAAAUAGGGCCUUAAGAAUUUAUGGAGUAUUUUUUAAUUUUCUUUAUUUCUCCUUCAUCUUUCUUCUUUUCCGUAAUCCCGAAUUCCGUACUAUCAAAAACAGACACCGUAGAUCCUAAUUCUCCGUCCCUCCGCCACCACCACAGAUCCACGUUCCACCGCCACAACCACCGCAUUUCAAUAACCGCUCUAUCUUUUCCUCAAUCUCCCGUGCUGCAACAAUGGCCUCUAAUCAACCACCUCCACAACCAAUUAACCAAUGCCCAACUCCAAAUCCUAUUCUUACCACCGCUGCUUCAACAGCCGUCCCCACCAACGUUAAUUGGCCCGCUUUUCCCGUUCCGAAAAAAUCGUUAAUUGGACUCGCAAUUACAGCAGGCUGCUCUGCCAUGUGAUGAUUUUCACCGGAACUCCGGAAGAGCAACGCCGAACAUCCGGAACCUUCUACUCGCCGAACAAGCAACAGGAGUGGUGAAUGAGUGUAAGAAAAUAGGUGGAAAAAGUAAGAGAUGUACUCCCUCCAUCUCUAAAAGAUUGCCCCAAUUUCCUUUUCGGUUUGCCCCUUUGAGUUUGCUUCAUAUCAUUUAUAAACAGAACUACUCUUGGGUGGUGUCCCUACAUCCGGAAAUCAUUGAAGGGAGGCCUGAGGAUCGACAAUGGUGACUGAGUCAUUUGUAGUUGAUGUGCCAGAUAGAAAUACCCAUGACUAAACCAUUACAGUUACGUUUAUCAACUGCAAUCUUGAUUCUUUUGCUGCUGUAUCUGAACAUGUGGGUGUACAAGACAACUGAUCCGGUUGAUAGGAUUUGAUUAGAAGCUUGAAGUGAUGGGUAGACGUCUUUCUCAAGUCUCUACAGUCUCAUUCUGUGCGUCCAAUCCAUGCUUUCUAGUUGUAUAUUAACAUGUGCUCAAACCGGUGAUUGUGGAACUGUACGUGUCGUAGUAUGAUAUUAUAUCUGUCUGUUGUAACAUCAGAUGGUAAAACCGUAAAAGAAGGCAGGGUCCUGUAGAAUAUUAAUAGACAUGUAUAAUCUGAAUUCCAAUUCUUGUGACCAUAAUAGCAUAAUGUGGAACCUGUAUAUAUGAAUUAUGUAUUGUGACUUUGUGAGAUGAUGAUGAAUGUUAACGAAGACAGGAAAGAUAUCUAUCA